rfam:Danio rerio chromosome 4, GRCz11 reference primary assembly.
GCAUUGGUGGAUUAGUGGUAGAAAUCUCGCCUCCCACUCAGGAGACCCGAGUCCGAUUCCCGGCCAACGCA